rnacentral:tRNA from 1 species
GACAGCUCAAUUGGUAGAGCAUGAGACUCUUAAUCUCAGGGUUGUGGGUUUGAGCCCCAUGGUGGGCA